rnacentral:rRNA from 1 species
ACACUGCCCCCGCCGAUGGCCUGCAUCUCCCCUGCUCUCCUCGCCACGGUUUCACGGUCGGACAGCCGCCCCCAAACCACCAGAAUUUCCACCGCAGAUCACUCGCCUGCCUGCUCGCCUCUCCUCUUCUCUCCUCCCAACCGUCGCCGUAACAAAUCCCAGUCCGUUCCUCCACACCCACCAGCUAGAAGCUCUGGCAGUUGAGCUAGGCACCACAGUCCACAUAGGUGCUGUGCUGCUGCGCGCAUAUAUAUACUCUGGUGGGAUCAUCCGGUGUGUUUGUUGGUAGCUAGCUAGGGGACGGUCUGAUGAGAUCCAUGGGCAGCUCGGACUCAUCUUCCGGCUCGGCACCGCCGCGGCAUCAGCCACCGCCGCCUCCGCAGCAGGGCUCGGCGCCGGACCUCCCGCCGGGCUUCCGGUUCCACCCGACGGACGAGGAGCUGGUCGUGCACUACCUCAAGAAGAAGGCCGCCAAGGUGCCGCUCCCCGUCACCAUCAUCGCCGAGGUGGAUCUCUACAAGUUCGACCCAUGGGAGCUGCCCGAGAAGGCGACCUUCGGGGAGCAGGAGUGGUACUUCUUCAGCCCGCGCGACCGCAAGUACCCCAACGGCGCGCGGCCCAACAGGGCGGCCACGUCGGGGUACUGGAAGGCCACCGGCACGGACAAACCUAUCCUGGCCUCCGGGUGCGGCCGGGAGAAGGUCGGCGUCAAGAAGGCGCUCGUCUUCUACCGCGGGAAGCCGCCCAAGGGCCUCAAAACCAACUGGAUCAUGCACGAGUACCGCCUCACCGACGCGUCUAGCUCCGCCACCACCAGCCGACCGCCGCCUGUCACCGGCGGGAGCAGGGCUGCCUCUCUCAGGUGUACGUCGUCUUCUCAUCAGUUGGACGACUGGGUGCUGUGCCGCAUAUACAAGAAGAUCAACAAGGCCGCCGCCGGGGAUCAGCAGAGGAGCAUGGAGUGCGAGGACUCCGUGGAGGACGCCGUCACCGCAUACCCGCCCUAUGCCACGGCGGGCAUGACCGGUGCAGGGGCGCAUGGCAGCAACUACGAUUCACUGCUCCAUCACCUGGACAGCCACGAGGACAACUUCCUGGACGGCCUGCUCACAGCAGAGGACGCCGGCCUCUCGGCGGGCGCCACCUCGCUGAGCCACCUGGCCGCGGCGGCGAGGGCGAGCCCGGCUCCGACCAAACAGUUUCUCGCCCCGUCGUCUUCAACCCCGUUCAACUGGCUCGAUGCGUCAACCGUUGGCAUCCUCCCGCAGGCAAGGAAUUUUCCUGGGUUUAACAGGAGCAGAAAUGUCGGCAACAUGUCGCUGUCGUCGACGGCCGACAUGGCGGUGGACAACGGCGGGGGCAAUGCGAUAAACGCCAUGCCUCCAUUUAUGAAUCAUCUACCCGUGCAAGACGGGACCUACCAUCAACAGCAUGUCAUCCUCGGCACCCCGCUCGCGCCAGAAGCCACUGCCGCCGCCACCUCUGCCUUCCAGCACCCCGUCCAAAUAUCCGGCGUGAACUGGAAUCCCUGAACAAAUGAUAUGAAGACCACAUAUGCGCAUGCACGCAUGCAUUGCUAGCCAGUAGUUGUUGCAGCUAGUUAGUGGUAGUCGCAUUCAGUGAGCACUGAGUAGUUGCAUUGCAUGCACAUCACCAUUGCAUGGAUAUAUGUGGCUAGCUGUAUUGCACCAUGAACACGUACUUAUGCGAACUUGCUAGCCAUAUACACAGCUAGGAAUAUUUUCGAAGUAAAAAAAAGUCAGAACAUAUAUAGUAUGAUAUUAGCUUCAUAUGUAUAUUGUAGAGAGCAUAUAGUAUGCAGCUGAUUACAAUCCCCAGUCAGAUAGUAUAAUUUUUGGCCAUAUACCUGCUAGCUAGGAGUAUUUUCGAAGUACAAAACGAGUCACAACAUAGUAUGCUAUUAGUUUCAUAUGCACAUAUAUACAUUGUAGUGCAUAUAGUAAAUAGUAAAUAUAUAUGCACCUGAUUACAAUCCCCAGUCAGAUAUAAUUUUUGGCCGGGUCUAUUCCAUCAUAUACUCCACAAUUAUAUCUGACUCUUUGCGAAGUAAAUACAUAUGCAGUUGAUUACAAUACUCCCUCUCUCUCAGUUUAUAGGACGUGCGCGUACUCCUAGAUCGUCAAUUUGAUCAACGUAAUACAAGUCAUAUAUUUAAAAAAAAUAUAACAACAUAAAAUUCAGAUGUUCUAUUUUAAACGGUAUAAUUGUUGUGUUAUAUAGCUUAUAUUAGGGUGAUAAAAUUGGCAAUCUAGGUAUACGCGCAGGACUUGUAAACUGAAACGGAGGUAGUAUAUAAAUAUGCUUGUAUGUAAAUAGGGCAUGCAUGAUAAUUGCAUGCACGUGUAUGAUUGAUCACAUAUUUAAUGACAUUUUUAUAUUCAAUUAAGAUUUGUG